UGUUACAGUAUUCAUCAAAAGAAAAAAAUGUUACAGGCUAAAACAUUUCUUUCUCUGUCAAAGGUUUUUUCACGGUGGAAACAUUUCUCUGAAACACAAACUCUGUCCAAUUUUGGCCUCAUCCCAGCGGCGGCGCUGCCUCUCUCCACUGCGUAGUUCUUCUUUCACCGCCGCUUUUUAGGGUUUUGUUGUCUUAAUUCUCUGUUAUUGAAUCUUCUAUUUUUAGGAUUUUUGAAAGUUUGGGAAAUUGGUCUUCUUCUCUCUUCUUAGUUUCACUUGCUUUGUAAAGGGGAGAUCCGCCGUAUCACAUGCUCUCACCGAAAUCACACGAGUUUUCACGCCGAAUCACUAUCGUGUCGCCGCUGUAACCUGAGUUCGCCGCCGCCACUACCUUUGAUUUAUGGAGGAGGUGGAGAACUCGGCUAAAAAGGCAGGCUUGGAAUGGAGGUGGAAAUGACGAUUCCUGAUUCACAAAUCACGAGCAAUAGGACAAGUAUCCAAUAUGAUGCUAUUUUUGUGGCUUUUGAAAGGACCAUAUAUAGGAAUUUAACCGUGUAGACUUGUUUUCAAUUAUGUUAAGUUAUUGGUUUGGAUUAUGAAAGGUGUUAUUGGUUUGGAUUACUGUUAAGUAGUGUAUUUGCUAUGUACUCUUUGGCAUAACUUAUGCCUACACUUAUUUAUUAAUAAAAAUAGCAAAGCCGUGGUUUGCGUC